GACAGCAUGAAAGAAAUUGGUAGCAAUUGCCUGAAUAAUGAAUUUAACUUUUUUAAAAGACAUAUCUGUGAUGCUAAUAAGGAAGGUAUGUUUUUAUUCCGUGCUGCUCGCAAGUUGAGGCAAUUUCUUAAAAUGAAUAGCACUGGUGAUUUUGAUCUCCACUUAUUAAAAGUUUCAGAAGGCACAACAAUACUGUUGAACUGCACUGGCCAGGUUAAAGGAAGAAAACCAUCUGCCCUAGGUGAAGCCCAACCAACAAAGAGUUUGUCCUCAGGACUACAGAAGCAGUUCACAUUUUACAGAUCAAAUGGACUACACACACAUUCUUUCCACUGCAAAUCGUCCUUUCUCCACUAGAAGGUAUCAGUUUCUCCAAAUAAAUUGUAUCAACUUGAGGGCAGACACUUAAUCACAUCUUAUUCUCUUGAUCCCCAUCAUUGCAUAACCAGAAAGAGCACAUAAAGUGUUUUUCAAUGCUUAUUUUAGUUGAUGGACUAUUUGUUUGUUUGUUUUGACCAAUAUGACUGAAUAAAGAUAACUGAGGGGAAAAAAUUAAUAACUAAUCAGGAAAGAAACUUUUUUCAGAUUUAUAAAAUAAUUUGUUGACAUACUCUACAGGAGUGACCUUAACAUACCUAAUGGUAACUAAAACCGUUCUCUUUAAUUACAAAAUUCCCAGCAUCUAUCCUACUAUGAUACUAUCUGAAGAUAAGCACCAAU
rnacentral:sRNA from 1 species